GACGAACGCUGGCGGCGUGCUUAACACAUGCAAGUCGAGCGGAGCGGCGAACGGGUGAGUAACGCGUGAGUAACUGCCCCCCUCCCUGGGAUAACAGUUGGAAACGGCUGCUAAUACCGGAUAGCGGGGGAUGACUCGCGCCCUAUCAGCUUGUUGGUGGGGUAGUGGCCGACCAAGGCGACGGAGGGUAGCCGGCCUGGGAGGGCGACCGGCCACAUUGGGCUGAGAUACGGCGCAAGCGCCUACGGGGGGCAGUGGUGGGGAAUAUUGCGCAGUGGGGCAAACCCUGAUGCAGCAACCCGCGUGCGGGAUGACCUCCUUCGGGUUGUAAACGGCUUUCAGCCAUUACGCGGUAGUGGCAGAAGAAGCACCGGCUAACUACGUGCCAGCAGCCGCGGUAAUUC
rnacentral:rRNA from 1 species